rnacentral:rRNA from 1 species
GUUGAACGCUGGCGGAAUGCUUUACACAUGCAAGUCGAACGGCAGCACGGACUUCGGUCUGGUGGCGAGUGGCGAACGGGUGAGUAAUGUAUCGGAACGUGCCCAGUCGUGGGGGAUAACGUAGUGAAAAUUACGCUAAUACCGCAUACGAUCUAUGGAUGAAAGCGGGGGAUCGCAAGACCUCGCGCGAUUGGAGCGGCCGAUAUCAGAUUAGGUAGUUGGUGGGGUAAAGGCCAACAAAGCCAACGAUCUGUAGCUGGUCUGAGAGGACGACCAGCCACACUGGAACUGAGACACGGUCCAGACUCCUACGGGAGGCAGCAGUGGGGAAUUUUGGACAAUGGGCGAAAGCCUGAUCCAGCCAUUCCGCGUGCAGGAUGAAGGCCCUCGGGUUGUAAACUGCUUUUGUACAGAACGAAAAGGUUUCUACUAAUACUAGGAGCUCAUGACGGUACUGUAAGAAUAAGCACCGGCUAACUACGUGCCAGCCGCCGCCGUAA